rnacentral:rRNA from 1 species
GAUGAACGCUGGCGGCGUGCCUAAUACAUGCAAGUCGAGCGAACAGACGAGGAGCUUGCUCCUCUGACGUUAGCGGCGGACGGGUGAGUAACACGUGGAUAACCUACCUAUAAGACUGGGAUAACUUCGGGAAACCGGAGCUAAUACCGGAUAAUAUAUUGAACCGCAUGGUUCAAUAGUGAAAGACGGUUUUGCUGUCACUUAUAGAUGGAUCCGCGCCGCAUUAGCUAGUUGGUAAGGUAACGGCUUACCAAGGCAACGAUGCGUAGCCGACCUAAGAGGGUGAUCGGCCACCCUGGAACGGAGACACGGUCCAGACUACUACGGGAGGCAGCAGUAGGGAAUCGUCCGCAAUAGGCGAAAGCUUGACGGAGCAACGCCGCGUGAGUGAUGAAGGUCUUCGGAUCGUAAAACUCUGUUAUUAGGGAAGAACAAAUGUGUAAGUAACUAUGCACGUCUUGACGGUACCUAAUCAGAAAGCCACGGCUAACUACGUG